rfam:Gemmatimonadetes bacterium GWC2_71_9 gwc2_scaffold_9192, whole genome shotgun sequence.
GGACAGGUGGCCGAGUGGUUGAAGGCGCCGGUCUCGAAAACCGGUGGGCCCGUAAGGGUCUCGUGAGUUCGAAUCUCACCCUGUCCG